UACGGGGGGGGUAAGCGUUGUUCGGAAUUACUGGGCGUAAAGGGCUCGUAGGCGGCCAACUAAGUCGGACGUGAAAUCCCUCAGCUUAACUGGGGAACUGCGUCCGAUACUGGAUGGCUUGGAUUUGGGAGAGGGAUGCGGAAUUCCAGGUGUAGCGGUGAAAUGCGUAGAUAUCUGGAGGAACACCGGUGGCGAAGGCGGCAUCCUGGACCAAUACUGACACUGAGGAGCGAAAGCCAGGGGAGCAAACGGG
rnacentral:rRNA from 1 species